UGGGGAAUAUUGGACAAUGGGCGCAAGCCUGAUCCAGCCAUGCCGCGUGAGUGAUGAAGGCCCUAGGGUUGUAAAGCUCUUUCACCGGUGAAGAUAAUGACGGUAACCGGAGAAGAAGCCCCGGCUAACUUCGUGCCAGCAGCCGCGGUAAUACGAAGGGGGCUAGCGUUGUUCGGAUUUACUGGGCGUAAAGCGCACGUAGGCGGACUUUUAAGUCAGGGGUGAAAUCCCGGGGCUCAACCCCGGAACUGCCUUUGAUACUGGAAGUCUUGAGUAUGGUAGAGGUGGGUAGAAUUCCGGGUGUAGAGGUGAAAUUCGUAGAUAUUCGGAGGAACACCAGUGGCGAAGGCGGCUCACUGGACCAUUACUGACGCUGAGGUGCGAAAGCGGGGGGAGCAAACAGG
rnacentral:rRNA from 1 species